rnacentral:lncRNA from 1 species
CAUAUUCUUGAUAGGUUGUUCUUCAGAUUUACAGGUAUGCAGUCUCCUGGACUUAAUUACAAAAUAUAUUAAUUUCAAACAGUUUAUACUACAGAUGAAUACAGUAUCAGCCAUGUCUGUCUAUUGAAGAGUUCCCCUUCAUAAAUCCUUUCAUAUUAACCACAAGAUCUAUUUAAAAAUACAGGGGCAGGCUUUGAAAAUGAAUAUAGUUGCAACAUGGUUUAAGUAAAUGCUCCUAUCGAAGGUCAGUUUGUGAUUAAUGUUCACAUAGAAGAGCAGCCAUUAAAACUACCAUUUGUUUUGUCUCUUUGUUGUUUACAUGGGAUGCUGUCGGCCUAAUUUUUUUAUAUUUUGCUUUAAAUAGCACUUAUCGGGCAAUAGAUUUACUGAUUUGAUUUGAAUCUUGCUUCCUGGUAUAGGUUUUGCUCAUUGUUAAAGGCCCUCCCAAACAAUAAUCUACAAUUAUAUUCUAUUCUGAUUUUAUGACUAUACAUGUAUUGUGAACAAUAAUUGUGUCAUUUGCAAUCCUAUCACAUUACCUUAUUCUUAUCAUACUAAUAUUAAUGGGAAAUUACAUUCCAGUCAAUCUACCAAGAAUAAUUGUGUCAUUUGCAAUUAUAUCACAUUUCCUUAUUCCUUGCCUCUUUCCAGCCCUUAUCAUGAUACAUCUGCAGUAGAAAUUAUUCUGAGGAUUCAACACACAUAUUUUAGUAGUUUGUUAUUAUUCCCCGUUUCAAAGUGUUACCAGGGUAUGCUCUUAACAACCUGCCCCCUUCCCCUUUUAUAUAAGUUGCCUUUAUGAAAAUAGCCUUAUGAUCCAAGCCACUAAGGG